AACGCUGGCGGCGUGCCUAACACAUGCAAGUUGAACGUGAAAGGGGGCAACCCCGAGUAAAGUGGCGUACGGGUGAGUAACACGUAGGUAAUUUACCCCAGAGUUUGGAAUAACCGGCCGAAAGGCUGGCUAAUACUGGAUAGAGCGACGGAAUCCGUAAAUGGGUUUUUUGGGAAAGGGAGGGAGCAAUCCCCCUUGCUUUGGGAUGAGCCUGCGUCCCAUCAGCUAGUUGGUGAGGUAAAGGCUUACCAAGGCGAUGACGGGUAGCUGGUUUGAGAGGAUGAUCAGCCCCCCUGGAACUGAAACCCGGUCCCGACUCCUACGGGAGGCAGCAGUGGGGAAUUUUGCGCAAUGGACGAAAGUUUGACGCAGCCCCGCCGCGUGAGUGAAGAAGGCCUUCGGGUUGUAAAGCUCUGUCGGGAGGGACGAACCUUAUUCGGGUUAACAGCCCGAGUGACUGACGGUACCACCAAAGGAAGCCCCGGCUAACUUUGUG
rnacentral:rRNA from 1 species